rnacentral:rRNA from 1 species
UACGGGGGGGGCAAGCGUUGUUCGGAAUUACUGGGCGUAAAGGGCUCGUAGGCGGCCAACUAAGUCGGACGUGAAAUCCCUCGGCUUAACCGGGGAACUGCGUCCGAUACUGGAUGGCUUGAGUUCGGGAGAGGGAUGCGGAAUUCCAGGUGUAGCGGUGAAAUGCGUAGAUAUCAGAAGGAACGCCGGCGGCGAAAGCGGCGCACUGGACCUUUUCUGACGCUGAUGCGCGAAAGCCAGGGGAGCAAACGGG